rnacentral:rRNA from 1 species
UACAGAGGUCUCAAGCGUUGUUCGGAUUCAUUGGGCGUAAAGGGUGCGUAGGCGGCGCGGUAAGUCGGGUGUGAAAUCUCGGAGCUUAACUCCGAAACUGCAUUCGAUACUGCCGUGCUUGAGGACUGGAGAGGAGACUGGAAUUUACGGUGUAGCGGUGAAAUGCGCAGAUAAUCAGGAGGAACACCGGUGGCGAAGGCGGGUCUCUGGGCCGUAACUGGACGCUGAGGAGCGAAAGCGUGGGGAGCGAACAGG